rnacentral:rRNA from 1 species
AGCGAACGCUGGCGGCAGGCUUAACACAUGCAAGUCGAGCGGGCCUUUCGGGGUCAGCGGCGGACGGGUGAGUAACGCGUGGGAACGUGCCCUCUGGUUCGGAAUAACUCAGGGAAACUUGAGCUAAUACCGGAUACGCCCUUUUGGGGAAAGGCUUGCUGCCGGAGGAUCGGCCCGCGUCUGAUUAGCUAGUUGGUGAGGUAACGGCUCACCAAGGCGACGAGCAGUAGCUGGUCUGAGAGGAUGAUCAGCCACACUGGGACUGAGACACGGCCCAGACUCCUACGGGAGGCAGCAGUGGGGAAUAUUGGACAAUGGGCGCAAGCCUGAUCCAGCCAUGACGCGUGAGUGAUGAAGGCCUUAGGGUUGUAAAGCUCUUUUAUCCGGGACGAUAAUGACGGUACCGGAGGAAUAAGCCCCGGCUAACUUCGUG